rnacentral:rRNA from 1 species
CAGUCGCCACGGUAAUACGUAGGUGGCAAGCGUUGUCCGGAAUUAUUGGGCGUAAAGGGCUCGCAGGCGGUUUCUUACGUCUGAUGUGAAAGCCCCCGGCUCAACCGGGGAGGGUCAUUGGAAACUGGGAAACUUGAGUGCAGAAGAGGAGGGUGGAACUCCACGUGUAGCGGUGAAAUGCGUAGAGAUGUGGAGGAACACCAGUGGCGAAGGCGACUCUCUGGUCUGUAACUGACGCUGAGGAGCGAAAGCGUGGGGAGCGAACAGGAUUAGAUACCCGUGUAGUCCCUGUCUCUUAUAC